GUUGACCUCGGAUCAGGUAGGAUUACCCGCUGAACUUAAGCAUAUCAAUAAGCGGAGGAAAAGAAACCAACAGGGAUUGCCUCAGUAACGGCGAGUGAAGCGGCAACAGCUCAGAUUUGGAAUCUGGUCCUUUGGGGCCCGAGUUGUAAUCUGGAGAGGAUGCUUCUGGCGCGGCGCCGUCCGAGUUCCCUGGAACGGGACGCCGGAGAGGGUGAGAGCCCCGUACGGUCGGACGCCUAGCCUGUGUGAAGCUCCUUCGACGAGUCGAGUAGUUUGGGAAUGCUGCUCAAAAUGGGAGGUAAAUUUCUUCUAAAGCUAAAUACCGGCCAGAGACCGAUAGCGCACAAGUAGAGUGAUCGAAAGAUGAAAAGCACUUUGAAAAGAGG
rnacentral:rRNA from 3 species